rnacentral:tRNA from 1 species
CGGGAUGUGGCGCAGCUUGGUAGCGCACCUGCUUUGGGAGCAGGGGGUCGGAGGUUCAAAUCCUCUCAUCCCGA